rnacentral:rRNA from 3 species
AAACUUUCAACAACGGAUCUCUUGGUUCUGGCAUCGAUGAAGAACGCAGCGAAAUGCGAUAAGUAAUGUGAAUUGCAGAAUUCAGUGAAUCAUCGAAUCUUUGAACGCACAUUGCGCCCUCUGGUAUUCCGGAGGGCACACCUAUUCGAGCGUCAU